ACUUAAAUUGAAGAGUUUGAUCAUGGCUCAGAUUGAACGCUGGCGGCAGGCCUAACACAUGCAAGUCGAACGGUAGCACAGAGAGCUUGCUCUCGGG
rnacentral:rRNA from 4 species